ensembl:snRNA U4 U4 spliceosomal RNA
AGCUUUGCGCAGUGGCAGCAUCGUGGCCAAUGAGGUUUAUCCGAGGCUCGAUUAUUGCUAAUUGAAAACUUUUCCCAAUACCCCGCCAUGAUGACUUGAAAUAUAGUUGGCAUUGGCAAUUUUUGACAGUCUCUAAGGGGA